AACUCUGUGAAUGUCCUUGAGUGGUCCAGCCAGAGGCCAGACCUGAAUCCGAUUGAACAUCUCUGGAGAAUUCUAAAAAUGGCUUUGCACCAACGCUCCAUCCAACCUGAUGGCGGUUGAGAGGUGCUGCAAAGAGGAAUGGGCAAAACUGCCCAAAGAUAGGUGCACCAAGCUUGUAGCAUCAUAUUCAAGAAGACUUGAGGCUGUAAUUGUUGCCAAAGGUGCAUCAAAAAAAUAUUGAGCAAGUGUAUGAAUACUUAUAUACAUGUGAUUUCUUAGUUUUUUUUUAUUUUUAAUAAAUUUGC